CAACACUGGCCAAUCCAAACCGCUACAUGUCGACAAUGCCGACUCUAGUCUAAUUCAGUUUUGGCUGCGCUUACGUUUUCACGUUGCAUUGGUUUAUCGUAAUUUCGUUCGAGAUUUCACCUGUUAUCGUGUGUUCAUCCAUUCGCGAGGGAGAAAACUCCGAUGGAACUGAUCUAUCAAUCUGAAGUUUUUGGUGAAUUAUGCGACAAAUAUUUGCCCGAGGUUCAUCUUUUGGCUACCAGCAGUGAUGUCCUUCUUGUCCGUGUUCGGCCUUCAGCAUCACAUCUCUUAAUUUCAAUAUCAAAUUUAAUUAUUGAAAUUGGAGCGUAACAACUGAUGAUGCAUACUGCGGUGGAAUAUACACUCAAAAAUCGGCUGCCACGACAUCAACCAAAGGAACACCUACACACAUUAUUUUUCAAACCAGUACAAUUAAUGCGCACUGGGAAGGACAGAAAAAAACUCUCGAUCACGAACGCAUUCUUUAAGAUCCCUUAUCAUUAGAAUUGUAUAUUUUUAGGGACCUUUGACAUUUAAUUUGAUGAAUGCUAGUAGAAUAACAUGUAGUGUAAACUCUUUAUAACAAUGCUUUCUAAGAUUAGUUGAUUCAGGGAAGGAUCAUAAUCGUCCAGUUUAUUUGCCUUAAAACAAACAUUGUACAGAUUUCUACGUCAUUAUAAGAAAGGUUAUCUAGAGUUUACAUUAUAUUGCACAUUUAAGCGCUUCACGACUGACUGUAUCGUCUUUUUGCUUGUUGUUGUACUGGCGGGACAUGUUUGCGCUUUAUUUGUUGGUAGUAAUGCGGAUAAGGGUACUUGGUAUCCUUGGUACGCACUGUUGUCUAGCUUUAACUCGCGAAAAGGCGCGUAUAAUGUUUGUAUUUUUUUGGGUUUACCCGUGACCUUACCGACUCAAUAACUUCAGCGUGGCGUCUAGAGAUGCGGAAUUAAAUUCUCCGUCGGGUGGCAUUUGUUUGUUGCAGGAACUCGACCUGCAACCCACGAAAAUUAGCAUAAAAAGGGGAUUUUUGUCACCCUUUUUCAUGAAAUGUUUGUAUUUUUUCGGGUUUGCAAGCAAUCUAGGCGGCUCACUAACUUCCGCGUGGCGUCUAUAGAUUCAGAAUUAAAUUCUCCGUCGGGUUGUUUACGCGCGUUCCAAGGGGCUCACUAACUUCAACACGGCGUCUGGAGAUGCAAAAUUAAAUUCUCCGUCGGGUAGUAUUUGUUACCGGUAGAAGUGACUCGAUUCAGAGUACCUUACGAGACUAGCGGUAAAAGUGACUCGUGUUCAGGGCACCGUACGAACCUGGCGAAAAUUUGCAUGAAAAAAAAUCACCCUUUUUCAUAAAAUUUUUGUAUUUUUUCAUAUUUGUGCGCGAGCUAGGCGGCUCACUAACUUCAGCGUGGCGUCUAUAGAUUCAGAAUUAAAUUCUCCGUCGGCUUGUAUUUGUUUGUUGCAGGAAUUCGAUCUGCAACUCGCGAAAAUUUGCAUAAAAGGGUGAUUUUUGUCACCCUUUCUCGUGAAAUGUUUGUAUUUUUCGUGUUUGCGCGCGAUCUAGACGGCUCACUAUCGGCAGCGCGACGUCUAGAGAUGCGGAAUUAAAUUCUCCGUCGGGUAGUAUUUGUUUGUUGCAGGAAUUCAACCGGCAACCUGCAAAAAUAUGCAUAGAAAGGUAAUUUUCUCACUCUUUCUCUUUAAAUGUUAGUAUUUUUUCGGGUUUGCACACGACCUUGGCGGCUCAUUAAAUUCAGCGCGGCGUCAAAAGAUGCGGAAUUAAAUUCUCCGUCGGGCUCUACUUAUUUGUUGCAGAGAUUCGACUUGCAACCCGUGAAAAUUUGCAUAAAAGGGGUAAUUUUUUCUCCCUUUUUCUUUAAAUUUUAGAAUAUUUUCGGGUUGGCACGUGACCUUGGCGGCUCAUUAACUUCGGCGCGACAUCAAAAGAUGCGGAAUUAAAUUCUCAGUCAGGUUGCCUUUGUUUGUUGCGAAAACUCGACCUGCAACCCGCGAAAAUUUGCAUUAAAGGGUGAUUUUUGCACCCUUUUUCUUUAAAUGUUAGUAUUUUUUCGGGUUUGCACUGGACCUUAGCAGCUCAUUAUCUUCAGCGCGGCGUCAAAAGACGUGGAAUAAAAUUCCCCGACAGGUUUUAUUUAUUUGUUGCAGGAAUUCGGCAUGUAACCCGCAAAAAUUUGCAUAAAAUUGUAACCGUGGCUAUGGUUCUGGUUUCACAUUUCACGGAUUCGACAGCAACUGUAGGCGCUCCCGUAAAAAUACUGCCUAGUGUGCUAGUUGUGACAAUAUUAAACUGUUAUCCAGGUAUAGUUCAGACAUACGAAUAUUUGUAUGUAAACAGUUUUUUGUUGAGUCUAUCGUAAUAGCGACACCGCGUGAUCGCGUGGUCGUUUCAGAGCGCACAUUCAGUUCCAUUCCGGUUGCCGAGCGAAACACGCGUGUUCCUCGCGGCUAGUUUUGUUUCUCCCUAUUAUAAAUUGAUCGUAAAUCGAUUAAUAUUCAAUAAGCAAUCGACGACAUUUAUUACAAUUGCGCGUGAUCGGAAUUUCGCCAGAUAAUAAGCACGAGUGAACUACUGUCGGUCGUCGGGAAUAUUUUUCGCGUGUGGAUUUUAUACUCGUACUGCACUCGUGUUGGCCGGCAUGUGCACUGCGUGCGUGUCCGUCGGCUGUCGGUUAUCGCCCAGAAUAACUUGGAUUUAUAUUUAAAUCCAAUAAGUAGUCAACGGAUGUGUCCGGAUAGGAAGUUGAGAAAAGUGCAAAUGUGCGCAUAUUUUAAGGCAAGUCUUCCGCGGCAUUUAAUAGUUGUCGAUAUUUUUCAAUAUAAAUUUUUUUUGUAUUUGUAAAUGUUGUCAAUAAAAUAAAAUUAAUAUCAAUUAA